AGGGAGCCGGGAGGAGGAGGAAGAGGAGGAGGAAAGGACCACCCGGCACAUCCUCACGCGGUGGCUGCCUCCGCUCUUCCAGCCGUUGGCCCGGGGCUGAUGUCAUCUGCAGCAAAUCAUCUCGCCCGCGGCCCGGAAGCUGGAGGGACGAGGUGUGCGGACAAUGGUCGGGGCAGGGCCGCGAGCCAAGGGGCUGGGGCGCCCGCUGAGCUCCUGCUGCAGCCGUGAAGGGGGAAGACGCUCUCAACCUACACCACCCACCACGUACACACCCACUGCCCACUCCUCACCCUCACCCUGUCUGUGCAUGGGAAUGGGAUGAGUUUCCAUUUUCGGAGUGGGGGUCUUUUCUCUUGUUGGAGUUGCACUAGUCAGGCCUCUGCCUUGUGUGCUGUGUAUGAUGUAGCCAGGUUCUCAGGAACUGGGAUAGCCACAGUGGGCAGAUGCGGGGCUGUGGGUACCCCGCCUAGGAAGACGGAACCUGUCUUUUCUUUGACCUUGUGGCUUUAAGAAGACGAAUUUACUGAUAUUUACCAAUAUCAAUAUUUACCACCUUCACUUAAAGAAUACAUCAAAAAUGCAAAACUUAAGCCUACUAUUGUUCAGGCCUUGGAUUCUACUCUGGCAGGGCCAAGGAUGAAAAAGUACUGGCUUUGUGGUGCUCAUGGGAAAUGAGAGAAAUGCAGAUGUAUUAUAUUAGAUACCAAUUUCUUUCCUUAAUGUGCUGAACAGAUAGUAUCAGUAAUAACAAAGAAUAAAGAGAAGAUACUGUCUCUACUCAGCAGGGUUACAGUGACUAUAAUGUACUUUUCAGUUCCUUGGGGAACACACAAGCAAAAUUACCUCGUGACAAUGAUGUCUUUUAAAAUACCUGUAGCAUUGGGAAUUUUUAUUGCCUUUGUUUGUGUUUAGAAGAACUAAAAAAUGUGUUUUUUGUUUUUGUUUUUUUGUUUUUUUUUUUAAGGCAGCCUAUUUACAACCGUUUCUCACAAACAUACUGAAUAUAGCUUCUGUCCCAGAAAAGGGGAGGAGGGUGAGGAAAGAGCAAAAUGUGCAAACAUGGUAUCAUAGAAGACUGGGGAAUUCGAGCUUUAAGGAAGAGGAAUAGAUGGAAAUUAGUCAACAUAGCUUUAAUACUAGAAUGCCUGUUAGUAAAAUAUAGAUGAUAGAUAGAUAGAUAGAUAGAUAGAUAGAUAGAUAGAUAGAUAAUCACCUAGAUAUUCUUAAGAUUUCCAAAAUAACCCAGUGUCUUAGGUGUUAGCUGCCAUGACUUAUUGGUCAUGUACUCUUUGCUCUUAUAUCUUUCCUGACACCCUGGCAUGGGAGACAUGCUGGGCAGCCAAGGGCUGGGGGGUUCCAUCCAACAUGUCAAUCUGAUCAAUGCAGAAUGAAAAUACCGUCUGGCCCGCAGUAUUUGGGAUCUGUGACAGGAUCACUAGAGAGUUGCAUUCACCAGUAAUUAGAUGAAGUGUUUCCAACUAGCUGCAUUCACCAGUAACUAGAUGAAGUGUUUCCAGAUAAUAUUUUGGUUAAGAUAUUCAAUUGCUGUUCAAGAAGUAAGGCCAGCACCAAAGCCCAUAACUGGGGUGAGGGGCAGGAAAUAUGGUGAAGAGCACUGUUUUCUAAAGGUCAUCCGUUGGAUUCCAGCCUCAUCUAGUUUGUGUUUGGUUUUCCUUUCUUUGAACCAUUGUUACUUUUAUGUAUGUAAUAGUUUUCUUUUAUGCAGUUUAUUUCUUUUACUUAAAUUUAUUUUUAAAUGCAAUUCUAUGUUGCUGUAUAAAUGGAAACACUAAUAUCACUUAUUAAUAGAAAGUAUCCCUAAAAAUAUACACAAUGAAGAUAAGAUGUGAUCAAAUUCCUGCUACAUACUGUUAUGAUUUGCUCAAGACUCUGAGUCCAAGGCUCUCCUUUCUUGGUUGAAAACAGAGAUUGGCCAAGUGUUAGAGAGGUAUUAAAGAGAUACUAACACCUAACUGAGUUGUUCUCCAUGUUGCAACAGAAGAUUGGAUGAAAAUUAUAACAGAGCGCUUUCUUACUGUGUGUGUCUGUGCAAUUAAACACCAUGACCGUGACCACCUAAGUCAUCACCCACACUUUGAAAAAUAGAGGCAUAAUGGGAGAACACAGACUAGGGAUGCAGAAUACUACUUUACAGCUCGGUAACUUUGGCAAGUGACUUACUCUUUUUGAUCUUCCAUCUCCUUAUUUAAUGAGAAGAAGAACAUCUUUAUAACUGUUAAAGUAACUGUAAGAAAGAAGGAAAUGAUAGAAUGUGUAAGCACCUAAUACAGUGGCUGGGCAUAGUAAGCAAUCAAGGGAUGGUUGAUUCAUUGACCUGUUUUCUCCCAGUUACUAAGACAAUGGAGCAAAAGCAGUCUUAUAAAAUGUGCAAGUGAUACUGCUACAACACCUCUGAAACAAGAACAGAAUAUUACAUUAUUAUACUUCAAUACUAGAAAAGUAGCCCCUUCCCCUCUUCAUCCCAAGAAAAUGUAUACAGUUCUAAGGAGGAAAAAGGGGGAAAACUAACAUAUAAGAGCACCAAUAUUGCCAGCUGCUCAACUGACAUCACCUGGAUAUACCAAAGGCACCAGAAUCUUGACAUGCUCCAAACCCAAAUCAUCUUUUACCUCUAAACGGGAUCCUCUCUCAUUCUUGUUAUUUCAAUGAACCAUAACACCAUGUAUCCCAUGAUGCAAACCAAAACCUCACAAAUAUUUUGGACUCUCCCCUGACCCUUAGCCUCGUGUGCAAUCCAGCAUGGAGUCUGGUCAAUUUCACCUUCAGUAUCUCUUCAAUCCAUCCACGUUUCUCCAUUAUCACCAACCUAGUCCAAGCUAGCAUCAUUGUGAUAGGUACUAGUGUACCGGUUAGAAAAUGGGUUCUGGAGUCAGACUGCCUGGUUUUGAAUCCUAAUACCAUAAUUUAUUAGCUGUGUGGCCUUAAGCAAGGUGCUUAACCACUCUAUACCUUGGUUUUCUCAUUUGUAUAGUAGAGAUGAGUACCGACCUCAUGGACAGGAGGACAGUUUAAAUAUGCAAAUUACUUAAAACAGUGCCUUGCAUAUAAUGAGCACUUAAUAGGGAUUAGUUGUUUUUGGUAUGGGGUUAGUUGUUUUUGGCUGUUAUUGUUUAACAUUUUACUAUGGAAAAUUUCAAACAGAGAGAGUAUAAUGUAAGUAACACCCACAUACCCAUUAUCCCCAAUCCAUAGAUUUUUAUAGUUUGCUUCUUUAAAUCAAGAUUGAAAUAAUGUCUAUAUAUUUCAACUGAUUCAUCAGUCUUAAACUCCUUUGAUCUAUGUAAUCCUGCUAUUUUUUUCCUUGUAAUUUUCUGUUGAAUAGUGGCAACAUUGUUCAGCAGAGUUUCACAAAGCAUAAAUUUUGCCGAUUGCAUCACCUGUUGUGUUAUUUAACAUGUUCUUCUAUCUUCUGAAUUUUCUGAGAGAACUAAAGUCUUGAUCAGAUGCAGAUUUGAUAUUUUUUACAUGUAUACUUCAUAGGUAAUAUUGUGAUCUUCCAUCAGAAGGCACCUAAAGACUAGUUAACCCUCAUUCUGUGAUUUUAGCAGCUAUUGAUGAUCAUUACCUAGAUCCAUUAUUUCACUAUGGAUUGAAAAAAUGAUAAUAUUCUAAUUUUGUUAUUAUUUAUUUGACAGCUAGAAGACUUCUGUUAGGAGAAGCGUUAUCCUGUCAGUUGAUUACCCUGAGGUACGGUAUGUACAGGAAAAGAAGGAUAAACAAAUGAUUUUUUCUCUUUAUUUACUGAUUUUCAAAAUAAUUAAUUUAUUCCAAAUCAUUCUCUAAAGGUGACUAAUUUUUUGUAUCAUUACAAAUAUAACUUACAUUAUUCAUAUUGAUGCUUUCAUUUUUUCAUCUUUGGCCAGUAGUAUGGUAAGGUAUCCCUAGCUUACCUUGCACAUAUCUGGCCUCAGAACCUGGAAUGAGCCGUUUCUCUAUGGAAUCCAAGUUCCUUACGUGGGUAAUGGUAUUUGGAGACCCCUGUAUACCAGGUGCUACUACUAUUUUGAUCAUUGUUUCUAGAUAUUUUCAGUGGACAGAAAUAUGAAAUAAAUUGUUUUUCAAGUAUGAGUUCAUACUUAUACCUCUAACUCAGAAUCGGGACUACAGGGAUUUUGCCUAACGUUUUAUCUUGCAUCUGUAUUUCCUUUGUCCUAUGCCUAGAAUUCCAGUUUUCAAAGACUCCAAGGUGACAGAAUUAGAACAGCAGAUAGUUUCUCAUUUUUCUUGUUCCACAAUAUAUACAAAUUACCCUCAUGGUAGUUUUAGAUACGAAUGC
rnacentral:lncRNA from 1 species